AUCCUGGCUCAGAUUGAACGCUGGCGGCAUGCCUUACACAUGCAAGUCGAACGGCAGCACGGGUGCUUGCACCUGGUGGCGAGUGGCGAACGGGUGAGUAAUACAUCGGAACGUACCUUAUCGUGGGGGAUAACGCAGCGAAAGCUGUGCUAAUACCGCAUACGCCCUGAGGGGGAAAGCGGGGGAUCGAAAGACCUCGCGCGAUUAGAGCGGCCGAUGCCUGAUUAGCUUGUUGGUGGGGUAAAAAGCCCCACCAAGGCGACGAUCAGUAGCUGGUCUGAGAGGACGAUCAGCCACACUGGGACUGAGACACGGCCCAGACUCCUACGGGAGGCAGCAGUGGGGAAUUUUGGACAAUGGGGGAAACCCUGAUCCAGCAAUGCCGCGUGAGUGAAGAAGGCCUUCGGGUUGUAAAGCUCUUUUGUCAGGGAAGAAACACCGGCUCUAACACAGUCCGGGAAUGACGGUACCUGAAGAAUAAGCACCGGCUAACUACGUG
rnacentral:rRNA from 1 species